rnacentral:rRNA from 1 species
UAGGGAAUCUUCCACAAUGGGCGAAAGCCGGAUGGAGCAACGCCGCGUGUGUGAUGAAGGGUUUCGGCUCGUAAAACACUGUUGUAAGAGAAGAAUGACAUUGAGAGUAACUGUUCAAUGUGUGACGGUAUCUUACCAGAAAGGAACGGCUAAAUACGUACCAG